UGCCGCGUGUGUGAAGAAGGCCUUUUGGUUGUAAAGCACUUUAAGCGAGGAGGAGGAGCUCUUGGUUAAUACCCAAGAUGCUUGGACGUUACUCGCAGAAUAAGCACCGGCUAACUCUGUGCCAGCAGCCGCGGUAAUACAGAGGGUGCAAGCGUUAAUCGGAUUUACUGGGCGUAAAGCGCGCGUAGGUGGCCAAUUAAGUCAAAUGUGAAAUCCCCGAGCUUAACUUGGGAAUUGCAUUCGAUACUGGUUGGCUAGAGUAUGGGAGAGGAUGGUAGAAUUCCAGGUGUAGCGGUGAAAUGCGUAGAGAUCUGGAGGAAUACCGAUGGCGAAGGCAGCCAUCUGGCCUAAUACUGACACUGAGGUGCGAAAGCAUGGGGAGCAAACAGGAUUAGAUACCCUGGUAGUCCAUGCCGUAAACGAUGUCUACUAGCCGUUGGGGCCUUUGAGGCUUUAGUGGCGCAGCUAACGCGAUAAGUAGACCGCCUGGGGAGUACGGUCGCAAGACUAAAACUCAAAUGAAUAGACGGGGGCCCGCACA
rnacentral:rRNA from 1 species